rnacentral:misc_RNA from 1 species
UCCCAUUGGAUAUCCAGUGGAUGGCCGAAAAACGACAGAUAACGAAGACCAGUGUCGUUGUUAGAUGCAGGAGGGGAACAACGGGAGCAAGGGAAUCGCGAUGGAGAUAGCUAUACUUUGAUUUAAAAAAAUUAAACGUCUUUAUGUAGCGUUUUACGUAUUCAAAAGACGGUUGUUUGUUACGCGAUGAGUGAAGCAAAUCAGGAAACGUCCGUAACGAGCACCCAGGAUCGGAUAACGCCAGUUGAAGUUAAUGAAAAUGGAACAGCACUUGAAAGAAAUGAAGAGACUAAGGCUGAAUAUGAAGGAAGUAAAUCGACUGUUGAAGAACUGUUCCCUUGGAUUUCAGAAUUCAAGAAAAAGUGUAGGUGCCUUCUGGCUCAGCCCAAUAUCGUCUCGUUAAUAAAGCUCAUGAAAUUCUACGCCAGAAAUGUGAGCGUUAACGUUACCGAAUGUUACACCAAACCUUAUAGGGCAGCCAAAUUAAAAGAUUCGAUUAGCGAGACGUUGCUUUUCUUUUUAUUCUUCUAUCGAGAACUUGUAGAGAUAUGCGAUAGAAAUUCAUACCUGGAUAAGAUGUCGGAUCUAUUGGCGAUGUACAUGGAUAUGGAGCUGAAGGCAUCUCGGCGAGGGAAAGAACACCACAGCAAAAUUGCCGCCCGUCUAUCGUCCUGCCUCUUUGUUUACCUUGAAAACUCAAACGAUCACAUUCUGGAUACAUUCAUCAAAGCAAAAUUCAUCAAUCGGAAUUACCAUGAUAUCUUGGAUCCAAUCCUAACAAAAAUAUCCAAGACUAUACCUGCACGACAUAAUUGUGACACAAUGUAUGUUCGUUACCUGUUGAUCUACCGGCUUUGGAAAAAAGUAAAUAGCAACGCGACCGUGAAGAAUCAGAUAAAUUCAACAGCCAUUUCACACCUAGGGCCACCUCCCGUGUGUCCGACACCAUUUCUGGCCAAAUAUGUGCUGCCAAAGGUUCCAAAGUCUCAGGCAAAUUCGACUAAAUUUCUUUUACUACACAAAUUUGAUAUAGAACAGUCGUGCAAAUUAUUUAUCCAAUACUGCAAGGAAAAUCGAGAGGAUGAAGAUCAGGGUGACCUUGGUAAACCAAAUUUCACUCCAAACGUACCUAGCUUGGAUAAUUUGAAAGUGUUGGGAGGCAGUGGCAUGUGCAGAGAUACGAACCACAUUGACAAUCUGAACGACAAUGUCAAUAUACCAGGUGCAGAAACAUGCCAGCGAAAUUUGGUGAAAACAAACUGCAUCUGCAGCGGCAGCGGGAUUUGUAUGGGAAAAUGUUCAGCCCAAGAAGGUACGAAAUCGGUAAAUAACAUCAAAACAAAACAUGAGUCUAGUAAAGUGAUACCAUUGAAGCCGCAUAAACCUGGAAAAGUACCGCCAAGACCUAAAUCAAAGAAGACAGGUGACAUUCUGUACAUUGAUUUAACGACCGAAGAAAUAACGGAAAAAGUUAUAAAAAAGAAGAAGCAGCUCAAGCUGCACUGGCUGGCAGAAGUGAAAAAGAAACUUAACACGAAAAGUGCAAAAACAGGGGAAAAAAAGAAGAAAGCUCAAUCUGAUGCGAGCAAUUCAUUUAACAAUUUACCACUCCCUGGUAUAAUUGACAGCACCUCGGCUAAGUCUUUGUCGACUGCGACUACUCCAGAGCCUUCGGUUUUGCCAGUUAAUGAUGUCACUAAUCCUGUUUCACCCGCAUCGUUGCCAAGUGUGACGACGCAAGUGCCUGAAAAUUGCGUAUUGUCAAACUUUGCAAAUGACUUUGUUCCUGCAGAAAAUUUAGCGAACUCUAAUAAAGACGAAACGCCUGAGUUUGCUGAGAAACUGACGACGUGUGGAGCAACAAAGACAGUUACAAUUCCUUGCACAGAUUCUAGUCACAUGUUAAAGCGUGAUACAAAUUGCAACAAUUCAUUGUUCGAAAUCCAAUCAGAAACAUCUGUUGCUCAAUUGUCCAAUACUUUAAGUCAUAUGUGCGAAACUUAUGGCGAUGACAGCAGCACUACCGAAAACAAUAAUGAGAAUCACGUGAACAGUCCAUCUAAACAAAAUGAAACAGGUACUCUAACUGCUUCCACUGAAAACGACAGCAUGUCCAUGGUCCACAAACAAGUAUUAAGUACAGGAAGAGAACAGAUUUGUGAAACAUCUGAAGCUUACAGAAGUCCUUCACAGAGCUCCGAUGUCGCUGUCAUUUUCACUCGAGAUGCUUCGGAUGUGGCAAUUGUCGAUCUUGAUGAAUAUGCAGAGGACAAUACUGAAAUAAGCGAGUCGUGCAAGAAUUCUAAAAUCACUUGUGAGAUUGAAAACAUAAGACUGGACUCGUCGUUAUCCAGCUACUUCACGAGCGAUGCGAUACGUGAGAAUAAUAUCAGGAACGAUUUACCAAGGAUUAAAGAUGAGUUUAAUAAUGAUCUAACGAACAUAACUUUCCACACUAAUAAACUUAGAUUAACAAACUCUGGUGAAACGUAUUUAAAUACGCUGAAUGAUACUGUGCAAGAGCAGUCGGUAGACGACGAGAAUAAGUCAGGUAAAAUUCAUAAUGUAAUAAACUUUGCUGUGAAAGAGGAAAGCACUGAUAACGUUGCCGCCUUUGAAGUCAUUGAUUCUGAGAAUACAAACUCUGCUAAAUUUCAUCUGCAAGACAACGUUAAUCAGAUUAUUGUAGAUGCAAUCAAAGAACCAGAAGUAGAUAAUAAAAUUAUGAUUGCGAUAGAAAAGGAAGAAGAAGUGGACUCCUAUCAUUGUCAGAUUGAGCAGAAUACCGAAGAAAGUUUUGAAAAAUCUGAGCCUAUUAAGUACGAUAUUAUGAAACAGUAUGAUUACAAAUCUAGUGAAGGCGAUCAAUUUGAUGGUACGGAAUUAACGAAAUUUACUGAGCUAGAGAUCGUCGAAAGACAGCAGCAUGAUUUUAAAAACAAGGAAUCUGAGUCUGAAACUGCAGAUAAAUUGACGACUAGCGUGGAGAAUGAAUAUGUCGAUGAACAGACAUUGAUACCAAAGAUAAACGAAACUUUGAUUUGUACUGAGAAUAUUGACGAUAAUAUUCAUGAUAUUUCGAAUGAUCUAUUAGCGAGUCAAGAGUCUCAAUUUCGUGAAAAUAUUGACGGCUUAUCACUGCUGGCCAGUGUAUCACAGCACGUAUCCAACCUUGAGUAUUCUGAGAAAUCGCUAACUAAACCAAAAAUUGUAGACGAAGAAAUUUCGUGUCUUGCCACGAAAAUUAAAAGAAGUCAUUUAUUGCGUAAUAAUGGUGUGAUCAAAGAAGUCAGUAAUGAAAUCUUGCUUGACGUAAAUAACACCAUCAGCUGCAAGAGUAUCAACGAAAUACAGGAUAUAUGGCAAAAAAUAAACGACAAUAAAAUCCACGGGACUGACUUGGGGUUAGAAAGCUCAAAUAAUAAUAUAACAGAAAAUGAAUCUUUAGACAUGAUUCCUCUUGUUCUAGAAACAACGGUGGAUCUCAAUUCAAGUACACUGCAUAACAAUAUGAUCUCAGUUGAUAACGUAACGCAAAUGAUUAAGGACAGUACAAACGUUAUAGUUAACGGAGAGACCGUUGUUCUGUUACAAAAAUCGCCAAACAGUAAUUUAUACAUUAUCAACAAAGCUAGCGAUAAUACAGCCGAGUGUUUAGACGAGGACAAGAAGAGCACCACUAAUACAACCAAAAGGAUCUCUACAGCUAUGCGCGAUAUUAUGAACCACAUUCCGAUAAAUCUCUCGAGAAAGAACACGGAUCGUCAAGAUGGAGGGAAAAUUCAACGUUACAAAGUGCAUACUGUUGGUAAGAACAAAGUUUCCAGACAGUUAAAAUCAGUCGUUGAUAGGUGUUGCCAACACAGAAAUAAAUCGGAUAUCGGAUAUAUUAAGAAGGAAAUUGUGAGCAAAAGUAACUACGAUGAGAUCUUUAGACAGCGAAGUACCGAUACACCGCAAUCUGUGAUAGAGUUAGAGUCUAUCGAAACACCGCUGCCACAUUUAACCAGACUCACUGAAACGCCGACCGAUGUUCAGAUGACGACGAAUCAGCGGGUCAGUCAAGAAUCUGGUGUGAUUAAUAUGACAACAACUGGAAGAUUGAGCGGGAAAUUAUCAAGUAAGAAGCAUGAAGAUAAAGUUAAAGGUACGUCGAUUGAAAAUGUAACAUUUAAACAUAAUAUAAAACAAGAAUUUGAAAGCUGUCUCGACGGCUCGUCUACCGAAAGAUCAUCCUGCUAUGGAAGUCAAUUAACGCCUGGCGAUUUUCAUCUGCAGGUAUCGAAAAAAAAUUAUAAUAAUAUUAAUUCCAGUAACAUGUUGCCUUUAAACCCAAGGAGCACACCUAAAAUUCCACAUGUCUAUAGCACAGUGACUACAUCUGCAAAUUUGUACAGUCUUGAACAUGAGCACUGUGACUGUGCACCUUGUAAUAUGAAGGUGAGUUCUUCCCAGCCGUAUCAAACAAUCCCACAACCUAUUCCGACUUGUCAACUGUCCCAUUGUGCUUGUUUGAAAUGUGCUUACGAGUUACAUUACAGACAAUAUCUACCCCACUCUUCCUAUCUUCAAUCGAAUUCCUACUUUGUCCCUACCGAUGCUAAACCAACAUCUAAAAACAAUGUUGUACAAGAAAAGGCGUUGAAGCUGACCGAAGCAGUUUUGGCAAAAUUCGACGACGACCAGUUGCUGCAUAAAAUUGAACAGAGUAUUAUAGAUAAUAAGGUAUCAAACCCGACCAAUGCUAAAAAUAACGUUCCAGACGUAAAGUAUAAACCUGAAUUCGAUAGUAAAUUACCUUUGAAAAAGAGACUAAAAGCCCAUGCAAUGAUGUCGAUGAGUUAUCAAGACACACCGAUAAAACUUGAAAAAGUUGAAAACUAUCCUGGGACACCGAUGAUGUCCAUAGCGGCGCUGGAAGCCAGAAAUCUCACGCAGAAUGCCGUCCCCGUUUUCGAACAAAAACCAACGAUGCCUUCCGCAGUAAUAGAAUUAUCUCCUCGACUCAAAGACGAUUCAUCUCAUCACACUACGGAGAUGAUAAGAAGGGAUUAUUUGAAGGAUACUUCGCUUACUUCGAUAGGAAAUUGCGUCAACGUGGAUGAGAAAACAAGAAAAAUGAAUCAUCAUCGGCGUCAAACUGCUGCUGAAGUGAACGUUACAGCGUCCGGAUGUCAGAAAAGUUUUAAAACCCCGGCCCAGCGUAAAGAGAUCUCAAUUUCAUCGCCAACUUCGUUGAAAAGAAAAACUACCACCGUUCCCAACCACCCAAAGAGUCCUAAAAAAGUGAAAAAGGCAAACGUUGGUAAAACUAAAGGUAGACAAACCAGAAGCUCUACAAGAAACAUUCCCAAAGUGGAUUACAACUACGAUGGUAUAAUUGAUCUUGCCGAUCCUAAAUUGAACACGUUUACCGAAUUGAAACGUAAACGUAAAAAGACCGGCCGAUGAUUAAUACUAUUUGACAUGGAGAAGUGAGAACGAUUAUUGUUAUAAAAUAUAAAAUAAGCGAGGAGAAGAGAUCGUUGCAUGGGCUAUUUAAAAUUCAAAUCCUAAUAUUUGUGUAUAUAGUUGUAAUUAAGCCAUAGCAGGAAGAUUCUAGAUGACAUCACGCCUCGUCAGAAGAUGGAACAAUGAAGAUUUAAUACAUCAGCAUUUCAUCAUGAAGAUAAUGAGUCGCGCCAGAGAAGAAGCAAGAUCGUCUUCACUGGAAGAUAUUUGAAAGAAACAUUGUUGUUUCUAUAUUUUCAAAGCAUUUAGAACUUGAGUUACAAAAAAAAAAAACCGUAAAAAUUUUUCAUAAUCUAUCAAGUAUAUACAUAUAUACUUACUACCAGCUGAUAAAUUUUCGAAAAAAAGAAAAAAUGGAAAAUCAAGACAUAUGCGUCCCAUAAAAGAAUGUAAAUAGAAACAUGUAUAUACUCAAACACAUGUAUGCAAACAUACAUGAUAUUUUUCACUUCAGGAAAUAUUGCAUGGGUCAAAUAAAUAACAAAUUCUCAUUUUUACUUUGGAGAAAAGAAACAAGAAAACAAAAAGCGGUAAAAAAAAAAAACAGCGAAUUUUAUGCAAAUUAAUAAGCUGUGAGAGUAGAAUCUUUUCUGUGUUCGAAAAAUUGCAAAGUUAAUAUUGGUGUAGAGAUCUUGUUUGAAAAAAAUAUUUAUACAGUCAUUAGUAGAUUUUAUAUUUAAAAAAAAAAAAAGAUAAUAGUAUUUAUAGUAAAUUCUGGCAUCGAUACUACUCCUACUACUUCUACUACUAGUACUACUACUACUACGUCUGCCUGGAGACUUUAAGACGUGCGGGAUACCUCGAAUAAUACACCUAACAGCAGUGCUUCUUCGAGCAGCAAUUUGCGGAUCCAACUUCUCGACUCAUGCUUUACUGACAACACACUGCGGAUACACACUGUC